rnacentral:rRNA from 1 species
UACGUAGGGGGCAAGCGUUGUCCGGAAUCAUUGGGCGUAAAGCGUGCGUAGGUGGUUUUUUAAGUCUGUCGUGAAAGCCCUGGGCUCAACCUGGGAACGGCGAUGGAUACUGGAAAGCUAGAGUGCGGUAGAGGGGUGUGGAAUUCCCGGUGUAGCGGUGAAAUGCGUAGAGAUCGGGAGGAACACCAGUGGCGAAGGCGGCACCCUGGACCAGCACUGACACUGAGGCACGAAAGCGUGGGGAGCAAACAGG